rnacentral:rRNA from 1 species
GACCGGCCACACUGGGACUGAGACACGGCCCAGACUCCUGCGGGAGGCAGCAGUGGGGAAUAUUGCGCAAUGGGCGAAAGCCUGACGCAGCGACGCCGCGUGGGGGAUGACGGCCUUCGGGUUGUAAACCUCUUUUACCACUCACGCAGGCUCCACGUUUUCGUGGGGUUGACGGUAGGUGGGGAAUAAGGACCGGCUAACUACGUGCCAGCAGCCGCGGUAAUACGUAGGGUCCGAGCGUUGUCCGGAAUUAUUGGGCGUAAAGAGCUCGUAGGCGGCGUGUCGCGUCUGCUGUGAAAGACCGGGGCUUAACCCCGGUUCUGCAGUGGAUACGGGCAUGCUAGAGGUAGGUAGGGGACACUGGAAUUCCUGGUGUAGCGGUGAAAUGCCCAGAUAUCAGGAGGAACACCGGUGGCGAAGGCGGGUCUCUGGGCCUUACCUGACGCUGACGAU